rnacentral:rRNA from 1 species
GACGAACGCUGGCGGCGUGCUUAACACAUGCAAGUCGAACGAAGAGCGAUGGAAGCUUGCUUCUAUCAAUCUUAGUGGCGAACGGGUGAGUAACGCGUAAUCAACCUGCCCUUCAGAGGGGGACAACAGUUGGAAACGACUGCUAAUACCGCAUACGAUCUAAUCUCGGCAUCGAGGAUAGAUGAAAGGUGGCCUCUACAUGUAAGCUAUCACUGAAGGAGGGGAUUGCGUCUGAUUAGCUAGUUGGAGGGGUAACGGCCCACCAAGGCGAUGAUCAGUAGCCGGUCUGAGAGGAUGAUCGGCCACAUUGGGACUGAGACACGGCCCAGACUCCUACGGGAGGCAGCAGUGGGGAAUCUUCCGCAAUGGACGAAAGUCUGACGGAGAAACGCCGCGUGAGUGAUGACGGCCUUCGGGUUGUAAAGCUCUGUUAAUCGGGACGAAAGGCCUUCUUGCGAACAGUUAGAAGGAUUGACGGUACCGGAAUAGAAAGCCACGGCUAACUACGUG